UACGUAGGGUGCAAGCGUUGUCCGGAAUUAUUGGGCGUAAAGAGCUCGUAGGCGGUCUGUCGCGUCGGCUGUGAAAACCCGGAGCUCAACUCCGGGCCUGCAGUCGAUACGGGCAAACUGGAGUGUUGCAGGGGAGACUGGAAUUCCUGGUGUAGCGGUGAAAUGCGCAGAUAUCAGGAGGAACACCAAUGGCGAAGGCAGAUCUCUGGGCCGUAACUGACGCUGAGGAGCGAAAGCAUGGGGAGCGAACAGG
rnacentral:rRNA from 1 species